UACGGAGGGUGCAAGCGUUAUCCGGAUUCACUGGGUUUAAAGGGUGCGUAGGCGGGUAUAUAAGUCAGUGGUGAAAGCUCCGAGCUUAACUUGGAACUGCCAUUGAUACUGUAUAUCUUGAAUGUCGUUGAGGUUAGUCGGAAUGUUGCAUGUAGCGGUGAAAUGCUUAGAUAUGUUACAGAACACCAAUUGUGAAGACAGCUAACUAAGCGAUGAUUGACGCUGAGGCACGAAAGCGUGGGGGAGCAAACAGG
rnacentral:rRNA from 1 species